rnacentral:rRNA from 1 species
GACGAACGCUGGCGGCGUGCCUAAUACAUGCAAGUAGAACGCUGAAGAGAGGAGCUUGCUCUUCUUGGAUGAGUUGCGAACGGGUGAGUAACGCGUAGGUAACCUGCCUUGUAGCGGGGGAUAACUAUUGGAAACGAUAGCUAAUACCGCAUAACAAUGGAUGACUCAUGUCAUUUAUUUGAAAGGGGCAAAUGCUCCACUACAAGAUGGACCUGCGUUGUAUUAGCUAGUAGGUGAGGUAACGGCUCACCUAGGCGACGAUACAUAGCCGACCUGAGAGGGUGAUCGGCCACACUGGGACUGAGACACGGCCCAGACUCCUACGGGAGGCAGCAGUAGGGAAUCUUCGGCAAUGGGGGCAACCCUGACCGAGCAACGCCGCGUGAGUGAAGAAGGUUUUCGGAUCGUAAAGCUCUGUUGUAAGUCAAGAACGAGUGUGAGAGUGGAAAGUUCACACUGUGACGGUAGCUUACCAGAAAGGGACGGCUAACUACGUGCCAGCAGCCGCGGUAAUACGUAGGUCCCGAGCGUUGUCCGGAUUUAUUGGGCGUAAAGCGAGCGCAGGCGGCUUGAUAAGUCUGAAGUUAAAGGCUGUGGCUCAACCAUAGUUCGCUUUGGAAACUGUCAAACUUGAGUGCAGAAGGGGAGAGUGGAAUUCCAUGUGUAGCGGUGAAAUGCGUAGAUAUAUGGAGGAACACCGGUGGCGAAAGCGGCUCUCUGGUCUGUAACUGACGCUGAGGCUCGAAAGCGUGGGGAGCGAACAGG